rnacentral:rRNA from 1 species
UGGCGGACGGUGAGUAACGCGUGGGCAACCUGGCCUGUACAGGGGGAUAACACUUAGAAAUAGGUGCUAAUACCGCAUAACGGGAGAAGCCGCAUGGCUUUUCCUGAAAACUCCGGUGGUACAGGAUGGGCCCGCGUCUGAUUAGCCAGUUGGCAGGGUAACGGCCUACCAAAGCGACGAUCAGUAGCCGGCCGUGAGAGGGCGGACGGCCCACACUGGGACUGAGACACGGCCCAGACUCCUACGGGAGGCAGCAG